CGCCAUCGGGGUGGCGCUGUACCACGUGGCGCUGCGGCUGCCGCUGGCCCGGCUCGGCGCGGCGUUCGGGAUCAUCGCGUUGGGGA
rnacentral:tRNA from 1 species